AUUGAACGCUGGCGGCAUGCUUUACACAUGCAAGUCGAACGGUAACAGGUCUUCGGAUGCUGACGAGUGGCGAACGGGUGAGUAAUAUAUCGGAACGUGCCCAGUCGUGGGGGAUAACGUAGCGAAAGUUACGCUAAUACCGCAUACGAUCUACGGAUGAAAGCGGGGGACUCGCAAGAGCCUCGCGCGAUUGGAGCGGCCGAUAUCAGAUUAGCUAGUUGGUAGGGUAAAGGCCUACCAAGGCGACGAUCUGUAGCGGGUCUGAGAGGAUGAUCCGCCACACUGGGACUGAGACACGGCCCAGACUCCUACGGGAGGCAGCAGUGGGGAAUUUUCCGCAAUGGGCGAAAGCCUGACGGAGCAAUCUCGCGUGAGGGAUGACGGCCUAUGGGUUGUAAACCUCUUUUUCAGGGUAGGAAUAAAUGACGUGUACCUGAAGAAUAAGCAUCGGCUAACUCCGUGCCAGCAGCCGCGGU
rnacentral:rRNA from 1 species